AGGUGAUCUGGCUGUGACAUCUGUCACCCCACUGAUCGCCAAGGUGGACAUGGAAGAUCUGGCCGUCCAGGUGAGGGCGGCUGUCCCUGGGAGGGGAGGGGUACUCCUCAGCCGGGGCACACAAGUGGCUUUGCUACCCUCCAGGACCUCAGAUGAGCUCUCAAAAUACAAAUAUAAAAAGGGCUGGGAGGGAGCUGGGAGCACAAUGUUGAGACAAAAAAAGAAAGGCCUGAGACACUGAACCACGCCGGCCCGGCUGCCUCCCCUU
rnacentral:snRNA from 1 species